GAGGAACGGUUCUCUUUCGCGCCUCCCUCCUCCUGCUGUGUGGAAAUGUUGGAAGACAAUUCGUAGUGGAGUGGAGGUGGUGACCCUCAGCCCACGUGUCUUCAAGGAGAGAUGGUUUAUUCAAUGAGGCUCAGAUCAAGGAGGAGUUCCGACACAUAACAACUCUUUCACUGGAAGAGACUUUGAUGCUGAAACUGGAUGGGUCCACUAAUGGCGCGUUUCCACUGCAGCGGGUAGCUCGCUUUAAGCGCGCCGAGCCGUGCGGGGCCCGU